rnacentral:rRNA from 1 species
UUGGAGGGCAAGUCUGGUGCCAGCAGCCGCGGUAAUUCCAGCUCCAAUAGCGUAUAUUAAAGUUGUUGCAGUUAAAAAGCUCGUAGUUGAACUUCGGGGUUUACCCAUUGGUCAGGCUUAAUUGUCUGCACUGGUGAGAUGAAUCUCUACCUUCUGAGGAACUUUCAUGCCAUUUAUUUGGUGUGAUGGGAAAUCAGGACUGUUACUUUGAAAAAAUUAGAGUGUUUAAAGCAGGCUAACGUCUGAAUACAUUAGCAUGGAAUAAUGAAAUAGGACGGACUGAUUCUAUUUCGUUGGUUUCUAGGAUCACCGUAAUGAUUAAUAGGGAUAGUUGGGGGCAUUAGUAUUCAAUUGUCAGAGGUGAAAUUCUUGGAUUUAUUGAAGACUAACUACUGCGAAAGCAUUUGCCAAGGAUGUUUUCAUUAAUCAAGAACGAAAGUUAGGGGAUCGAAGACGAUCAGAUACCGUCGUAGUCUUAACCAUAAACUAUGCCGACUAGGGAUCGGACGAAGUUAAUUUUAUAAUGACGCGUUCGGCGCCUUAC